GGUUUCGUGGUCCAGUGGUAAGGACAUUUGCCUUUCACCCUGGAGUGACAGGUUCGAUCCACGGACGAGGAGCUCG
rnacentral:tRNA from 1 species